GCGGUAAGGCUCCUUCGGGAGUACACGAGCGGCGAACGGGUGAGUAACACGUGAGCAAUCUGCCCUUCACUUUGGGAUAACCCCGGGAAACUGGGGCUAAUACCGAAUACGACCACCGAUGGCAUCUUCGGUGGUGGAAAGUUCCGGCGGUGAAGGAUGAGCUCGCGGCCUAUCAGCUUGUUGGUGAGGUAAUGGCUCACCAAGGCAACGACGGGUAGCCGGCCUGAGAGGGUGACCGGCCACACUGGGACUGAGACACGGCCCAGACUCCUACGGGAGGCAGCAGUGGGGAAUAUUGGACAAUGGGCGAAAGCCUGAUCCAGCAAUGCCGCGUGAGGGAUGACGGCCUUCGGGUUGUAAACCUCUUUCAGCAGGGACGAAGCGCAAGUGACGGUACCUGCAGAAGAAGCACCGGCCAACUACGUGCCAGCAGCCGCGGUAACACGUAGGGUGCGAGCGUUGUCCGGAAUUAUUGGGCGUAAAGGGCUCGUAGGCGGUUUGUCGCGUCGGGAGUGAAAACUCAGGGCUCAACCCUGUUCGUGCUUCCGAUACGGGCAAACUAGAGGUAGGCAGGGGAGAACGGAAUUCCUGGUGUAGCGGUGGAAUGCGCAGAUAUCAGGAGGAACACCGGUGGCGAAGGCGGUUCUCUGGGCCUAUUCUGACGCUGAGGAGCGAAAGCAUGGGGAGCGAACAGGAUUAGAUACCCUGGUAGUCCAUGCCGUAAACGUUGGGCGCUAGGUGUGGGACUC
rnacentral:rRNA from 1 species